AUGUUUUGAGAAAUCGCAACAAAGUAGCGAGGAGGUGUGGCAACAAAGAGUAAAUAGUUCGUCUGUUCUGAUUGCGAAUAUUUUGAUACUUUUUCAAAUUUACAAGAUGAUCGUCCUGAGAACCUGAUUGCCGGUCGUUUUGUAAUCUUAAAAAACAAAUACGAGUAGGAAUGUCAUCAGAUGAAGAAGCGCGAGUCUGGUUAAGAGAACACUUUCUGCGAACACUAACCAAACUCAAUGGAGUGGAAGCUGUUUUCACUAUGCAUGAAAAUAUUACAGUUACUGGUCAAUAUGAAUGCUCCAGUGCUGAUUUAAAAUAUUUUCAUGUCUCUGGCCUAAAAACUCCUUUGGGGAACUGUAAACAAUCUCUUUUGAGAUCUAGUGAUGUAAUCAGCAUUGAUUUCAAAACACCUCCCAGUCUAUUCCCUUUACCAGUUUCAACUACUGUUUCCAAAGAUUGUUUACAGAGUCAAUAAAUUUGUUUGGUUCAA